CCUUAGGACAGAUACAUCCCGGGAAACUGGGGCUAAUAUCAGAUAGAUGAGGACUCCUGGAAUGGUGCCUCGUCGAAAGGGCGUCGAAGACAUGCUUUUGACGUUGCCUAAGGAUGGGACCGCGUCCGAUCAGGUUGUUGGUGGGGUAACGGCUCACCAAGCCUAUAACCGGUACGGGCCCUGAGAGGGGAAGCCCGGAGAUGGAACCUGAGACAAUGUUCCAGGCCCUAUGGGGCGCAGCAGGCGCGAAACCUCCACAAUGCACGAAAGUGUGAUGGGGUUACCCCGAGUGCCUUCCUUAAAGGAGGGCUUUUCUUCGGUGUAAGGAGCCGGAGGAAUAAGGAGGGGGCAAGAUUGGUGUCAGCCGCCGCGGUAAUACCAACCCUCCGAGUGGUAGGGAUGAUUAUUUGGCUUAAAGCGUCCGUAGCUGGCUUGAAAAGUCUUCCGUUNAAUCCAGCGUCUAAGCGUUGGAAAGCGGAAGAUACUAUCAAGCUAGGAGGCGGAAGAGGCC
rnacentral:rRNA from 1 species